UACGGAGGGGGCAAGCGUUACUCGGAAUUAUUGGGCGUAAAGGGCGCGUAGGCGGUCGUGCGCGUCGGAGGUGAAAUCCCCGGGCUUAACCCGGGAGCUGCCUCCGAUACGGCAUGGCUUGAGUCCGGGAGAGGGGAGCAGAAUUCCCAGUGUAGCGGUGAAAUGCGUAGAUAUUGGGAGGAACACCAGUGGCGAAGGCGGCUCACUGGACCGGUACUGACGCUGAUGCGCGAAAGCGUGGGGAGCAAACGGG
rnacentral:rRNA from 1 species